rnacentral:rRNA from 1 species
GAGCGGCGGACGGGUGAGUAAUACUUAGGAAUCUACCUAGUAGUGGGGGAUAGCUCGGGGAAACUCGAAUUAAUACCGCAUACGACCUACGGGAGAAAGGGGGCAACUUGUUGCUCUCGCUAUUAGAUGAGCCUAAGUCGGAUUAGCUAGAUGGUGGGGUAAAGGCCUACCAUGGCGACGAUCUGUAGCUGGUCUGAGAGGAUGAUCAGCCACACCGGGACUGAGACACGGCCCGGACUCCUACGGGAGGCAGCAGUGGGGAAUAUUGGACAAUGGGGGAAACCCUGAUCCAGCCAUGCCGCGUGUGUGAAGAAGGCCUUUUGGUUGUAAAGCACUUUAAGCAGUGAAGAAGACUCCGUUGGUUAAUACCCACGGACGAUGACAUUAGCUGCAGAAUAAGCACCGGCUAACUCUGUGCCAGCAGCCGCGGUAAUACAGAGGGUGCAAGCGUUAAUCGGAAUUACUGGGCGUAAAGGGAGCGUAGGUGGCUCGAUAAGUCAGAUGUGAAAUCCCCGGGCUUAACCUGGGAACUGCAUCUGAUACUGUUGAGCUAGAGUAUGUGAGAGGGAGGUAGAAUUUCAGGUGUAGCGGUGAAA